rnacentral:rRNA from 1 species
AACGAACGCUGGCGGCAGGCUUAACACAUGCAAGUCGAACGCCCCGCAAGGGGAGUGGCAGACGGGUGAGUAACGCGUGGGAACGUGCCUUUCGGUCCGGAACAGACCCGGGAAACUGGGAUUAAUACCGGAUACGUCCUUAGGGAGAAAGAUUUAUCGCCGAAAGAUCGGCCCGCGUCUGAUUAGCUAGUUGGCGGGGUAAUGGCCCACCAAGGCGACGAUCAGUAGCUGGUCUGAGAGGAUGAUCAGCCACACUGGGACUGAGACACGGCCCAGACUCCUACGGGAGGCAGCAGUGGGGAAUAUUGGACAAUGGGCGCAAGCCUGAUCCAGCCAUGCCGCGUGAGUGAUGAAGGCCUUAGGGUUGUAAAGCUCCUUCGGGCGGGACGAUAAUGACGGUACCCGCAGAAGAAGCCCCGGCUAACUUCGUGCCAG